GCCGGGCAGGCGGGCGGGCGGGCGUCCCGCAGGGAGCGCCGCACCGAAGGGGUUAAGCAACAGUCUUCCUCUGCUUCUUACUACAUGGAUGAAAACAUGGCCACAGACAGCUUUGAAAUUUCUAUGUCAUCGGUCCAGCCAUUCUGAGAAAAACAAAAUCAAUCCCAACCCUUUCCCCUCUCCCCAACCCACUCAUCAUUCCAGAUUUCCAGUCUUAGCAGAUGUUCACCUUGGCACAAUCAACUGUGGCCAAGGGCUGAUGUUCAGUGAGUACAAAUGCUUGACAAUAUCUAAAAUUGGGAACUGUUCUUGUGAAUCAAGAUAUGUGGCCAUCCUACAUAUAGUUAAAUGAGAAGAUCCAACUUUAAGAUUCAAUGCAUGUAUGUUCUGCUAUCAGAGCACUCAGGGAGACACAGAUGCCUUCUUUAUUCCUCCUGUGACUGCUCUACAAAACUCCAGAAGCAUGGCGAAACGUUGACUGUGAAGCAAACAGGACCCACAAUAACUACAGUGCCUGAAGAUCUAUUUUCUCUGGCUGAAGAACAUUUGAUUUGUUCCCAGUUUUGGACUAUCACAGAUAAUGCUGCUAGGAACAUUUGCGUACAAAUAUUUGUUCUUCUUUUUAGCAUCGUUAGAUAAAGUAGGCACGCUCCUCGUCAUCCAGGAACUCGUAAUGCAGCAAAUGACGCUGGCUGAUACUCCAUGUCCAGACCUGAGGACCCAGUGCGACCUCUUGUAUAAACAUCCUGCUUAACUAGAAAUGUCUUUUCCUAUUUCCAUAUUGCCACUUUGCUUAAAAAUUUCUGGUCUGUCUUUCUGUUUAUGUAAGAUAUGCAGAAUUCCUUUCUGGGGGGUCUCUUUAUAUCUCUUGAUCCUCUUUUAUCUUUGCUACCAAAGGGUUUGCACAUCAGUGAAAGGAGUGUGGGUGAUUUGUGAGCUCUACCACAUUUGGAAAUAUGGGUCACCAAUUU